UACAUACUGUGCGAACGUUAUUCGGAUUCACUGGGCUUAAAGGGUGCGUAGGUGGCCAACUAAGUCAGACGUGAAAUCCCUCGGCUUAACCGGGGAACUGCGUCUGAUACUGGAUGGCUUGAGUUCGGGAGAGGGAUGCGGAAUUCCAGGUGUAGCGGUGAAAUGCGUAGAUAUCUGGAGGAACACCGGUGGCGAAGGCGGCAUCCUGGACCGACACUGACGCUGAGGAGCGAAAGCCAGGGGAGCAAACGGG
rnacentral:rRNA from 1 species